GACAUUACAUUGACCUAAAGGUCUUCAUCCUUACACUGUCUUCUCCUUACAAAUCAUUGCAGAUGACAUUGUGUGAUAUGGAUACUCAUCCUUACAUUGUCUUUUCCUUACAAAUCAUUGCAGAUGACAUUGUGUGAUAUGGAUACUCAUCCUGCAAAGAGCUCCCAUCCUGCUGUCAUGUCUGAGAAACAGAUGGAAGAAGCUUCUUGCCCACAGGACACACCUCAACAGACUCGACAUGACUUCUGUAAUGAAAGUGAAAAUAUUUUACAUAGACUAAGACGGACAAAAUGCAUUAUCAUGAAAGACACACGUCUGGAAGACACAGAACUGUAUGAUGGCACAUCAGUCAGUGGAGAUGAUGAUGAAGAUGAGUAUGUUCCAGAUUCUACCACGGACCCUGAGGACAGUGAUGCUAGCAGUGAUGUCAUCCCAAUGAAAUCGUCAAUGUUUUUGCUGCUAAACCAUGUAGCCAGUCUGACAGUUAUUUAUUUCAGCUUUUAUGACAUCAGACUUGUGUAUGUUUUAUUUUAUACACAUUAUACAACAAUUUUACUUUCUCAAUAAAAAGUAUGUUGUGCAGGUCAAACCAGUAAUUGUAAUCUUCUUAACAAGGUUUCAUUUCAUCGCAAGUGCAACAUGUUGGAGAAUUUAUUACAUUAUUUGCCAUUUAAAUAUAAAAAAAUAGGUCCCCACUAAGUCCCCACUAUUAAAAUAUAAAUCUGUGUGAAGUAUUCAAAUGUAUGCAAAUGUUGU